GGGGAGCAGGGAAGUGCAUCUGAAGCUACAAACUAGGAGGCAGAGGAGCUGUGCUGAUGUAAAUUCAGUAGCAUGCGGUAACCUGGUGUCUUUAUAGUCCUUUGAUCUGAAGCUGCAGGAUUUCCCGUUAGAUCUAUCCGCUAAUUAGGCGAAAUACAACUCCUUCCUCAGGCAGGCGUCUUGCCAGUGUUGAGUAAGAAAAAGAAUGGUUCCUCACCGGGGGGCAUCAACUGUCAAACAUGGUGGAAAAAGCAUGG